UUAAUGGGUGUUUGAGUUAUUAGCUUAAAGCUAACUUUUCUCUGAAAAUGUACUAUGCAGCUGCCACGGCACUGUUUGUGGUUGCAGGGAUCGAGUUCAGCAAGAGAAUUGUAGCUCAACAAAGAUGUGAAGUAUGUAAGGGAUCGGGGCUUGUUUUGAGGGACAGAAAAUAUUAUUUCCGAUGCCCUGGUUGGUUGUGGUACAAUUCUCAUUCCCUACCCUUUGCUGGCCUAAGUAGAGUAUGCACUGGUUCAUACUGAAUGCUUUUCUCGCAAAGUUUAGAGAAAUGGCAUAUAGCCAUGCAUGUAUGUUUGUGUCUGAUUCUGCUUUAGUACUCUGAAUACAAGAUGUUGGUUGUAUAAUGCAUGAUAUGGAGACGAAGAAUUGAAAGAUUGAAAUUAAUAUUA